GCCUAAGUAGCUCAGUCGGUAGAGCAAGCGACUGAAAAUCGCUGUGUCGCUGGUUCGAUUCCGGCCUUAGGCACCA
rnacentral:tRNA from 1 species